rnacentral:lncRNA from 1 species
UGAACUGAAGUAUGCCUCCUCGUGGACUCUGACGGGCCAGCCUCGUGAUCAGAAAUAAACUGAAUAUCUGGUGAUACUGCCCUGUGAUCACGGAUGGGUGAGGAUGGUCCUUCCUCCUCUGCUCUGUCCUCAGCUCUCUCUUCCACACCUUUUGUCUAACCACCAUCAGUUUUGGAAAAUCCCAUGCGGUGCAAAGUAUGGUGGUUGAUAGUGUCGGAGUGAGAUAGCCUAGCUACUGCCUCCCCCUCAAAGCUAACUCCAAACCUCCUAAAUACUAAAGUGAGAGCCAUACCAAAAGGCAAAUGUGCCUUAGACCUAUUCAAGGUCUCUCUCAUGGCCUCAAACAUCAAUGCCGGG